AAUCUAGCACUUUCAGUGUUCGAGUUGUAAUUUGAAGAAGGUAUCUUUGGAGUUGGCCCCUGUCUAUGUUCCUUGGAACAGGACGUCACAGAGGGUGAGAAUCCCGUGCGAUGGGGAGACCAAUUCUUUGUAAAGUUCCUUCGAAGAGUCGAGUUGUUUGGGAAUGCAGCUCUAAGUGGGUGGUAAAUUCCAUCUAAAGCUAAAUAUUGGCGAGAGACCGAUAGCGAACAAGUACAGUGAUGGAAAGAUGAAAAGAACUUUGAAAAGAGAGUGAAAAAGUACGUGAAAUUGUUGAAAGGGAAGGGCUUUUGAUCAGACUUGGUGUUUAACGAUCUCUUCUCCUUGUGGGAGGGGCUCUUGUUUUAUACUGGGCCAGCAUCGGUUUGGAUGGCAGGAUAAUGACAUUGGAACGUGGCUUCAUUCGUGAAGUGUUAUAGCCUUUGUUGAUACUGCCUAUCUAGACCGAGGACUGCGUCUUUGACUAGGAUGCUGGCGUAAUGAUUAAAAGCCGCCCGUCUUGAAACACGGACCAAGGAGUCUAACGUCUAUGCGAGUGUUUGGGUGUAAAACCCGUACGCGUAAUGAAAGUGAACGUAGGUGAGGGCCCGCAAGGGUGCAUCAUCGACCGAUCCUGAUGUUUUCAGAUGGAUUUGAGUAAGAGCAUAGCUGU
rnacentral:rRNA from 1 species